rnacentral:rRNA from 1 species
AUUGAACGCUGGCGGCAUGCCUUACACAUGCAAGUCGAACGGCAGCACGGGGCAACCUGGUGGCGAGUGGCGAACGGGUGAGUAAUGCAUCGGAACGUACCUUUCAGUGGGGGAUAACGUAGCGAAAGUUACGCUAAUACCGCAUAUUCUGUGAGCAGGAAAGCAGGGGAUCGCAAGACCUUGCGCUGAUUGAGCGGCCGAUGUCAGGUUAGCUAGUUGGUGAGGUAAAGGCUCACCAAGGCGACGAUCUGUAGCGGGUCUGAGAGGAUGAUCCGCCAAAAUGAAACUGAGACACGGUCCAGACUCCUACGGGAGGCAGCAGUGGGGAAUUUUGGACAAUGGGGGCAACCCUGAUCCAGCCAUGCCGCGUGAGUGAAGAAGGCCUUCGGGUUGUAAAGCUCUUUCGGCCGGGAAGAAAUCGCACGGGCUAAUACCCUGUGUGGAUGACGGUACCGGAAUAAGAAGCACCGGCUAACUACGUGCCAGCCGCCGCCGUAAAAC